rnacentral:rRNA from 1 species
AAAUUGAAGAGUUUGAUCAUGGCUCAGAUUGAACGCUGGCGGCAGGCCUAACACAUGCAAGUCGAACGGUAACAGGAAGCAGCUUGCUGCUUCGCUGACGAGUGGCGGACGGGUGAGUAAUGUCUGGGAAACUGCCUGAUGGAGGGGGAUAACUACUGGAAACGGUAGCUAAUACCGCAUAACGUCGCAAGACCAAAGAGGGGGACCUUCGGGCCUCUUGCCAUCGGAUGUGCCCAGAUGGGAUUAGCUAGUAGGUGGGGUAACGGCUCACCUAGGCGACGAUCCCUAGCUGGUCUGAGAGGAUGACCAGCCACACUGGAACUGAGACACGGUCCAGACUCCUACGGGAGGCAGCAGUGGGGAAU